UGGGGAAUAUUGGACAAUGGGCGCAAGCCUGAUCCAGCAAUGCCGCGUGUGUGAAGAAGGCCUUCGGGUUGUAAAGCACUUUUAUCAGGAGCGAAAUACGAUGGGCUAAUACCCCGUCGGGCUGACGGUACCUGAGGAAUAAGCACCGGCUAACUUCGUGCCAGCAGCCGCGGUAAUACGAAGGGUGCAAGCGUUAAUCGGAAUUACUGGGCGUAAAGCGUGCGUAGGCGGUGAUUUAAGUCUGCUGUGAAAUCCCCGGGCUCAACCUGGGAAUGGCAGUGGAUACUGGAUCGCUAGAGUGUGUUAGAGGAUGGUGGAAUUCCCGGUGUAGCGGUGAAAUGCGUAGAGAUCGGGAGGAACAUCAGUGGCGAAGGCGGCCAUCUGGAUCAACACUGACGCUGAGGCACGAAAGCGUGGGGAGCAAACAGG
rnacentral:rRNA from 1 species